UGUCCGAGUUGUAAUUUGAAGAUUGUAACCUUGGGGUUGGCUCUUGUCUAUGUUUCUUGGAACAGGACGUCACAGAGGGUGAGAAUCCCGUGCGAUGAGAUGCCCAAUCCUAUGUAAGGUGCUUUCGAAGAGUCGAGUUGUUUGGGAAUGCAGCUCUAAGUGGGUGGUAAAUUCCAUCUAAAGCUAAAUAUUGGCGAGAGACCGAUAGCGAACAAGUACAGUGAUGGAAAGAUGAAAAGAACUUUGAAAAGAGAGUGAAAAAGUACGUGAAAUUGUUGAAAGGGAAGGGUUUGAGAUCAGACUCGAUAUUUUGUGAGCCUUGCCUUCGUGGCGGGGUGACCCGCAGCUUAUCGGGCCAGCAUCGGUUUGGGCGGUAGGAUAAUGGCGUAGGAAUGUGACUUUGCUUCGGUGAAGUGUUAUAGCCUGCGUUGAUGCUGCCUGCCUAGACCGAGGACUGCGAUUUUAUCAAGGAUGCUGGCAUAAUGAUCCCAAACCGC
rnacentral:rRNA from 1 species